UGCAGAUGAGGUAACCGCUUGUAGAAUGGCA
rnacentral:piRNA from 2 species